AUUGAACGCUAGCGGGAUGCUUUACACAUGCAAGUCGAACGAGUGGCGGACGGGUGAGUAAUAUAUCGGAACGUGCCCAGUAGCGGGGGCUAACUACUCGAAAGCGUGGCUAAUCCCGCAUACUAUUGGAGCGGCCGAUAUCGGAUUAGCUAGUUGGUGGGGUAACGGCUCACCAAGGCAACGAUCCGUAGCUGGUUUGAGAGGAUGACCAGCCACACUGGUACUGAGACACGGCCCAGACUCCUACGGGAGGCAGCAGUGGGGAAUAUUGGACAAUGGGGGAAACCCUGAUCCAGCCAUCCCGCGUGUAUGAGAAGGCCUUCGGGUUGUAAAGUACUUUUGGCAGAGAAGCGGUAUCUGCAGAAGAAGCACCGGCUAACUACGUGCCAGCAGCCGCGGUAAUAC
rnacentral:rRNA from 1 species